CCCUGGGUUAGUCGGGACCUAAGCUGAGGCCGAAAGGCGUAGGUGAUGGACAACAGGUUGAUAUUCCUGUACUACCGAUAACCGUUUGAGAGAAGGGAUGACACAGUAGGAUAAGCUAAGCACACUGUUGGUUAUGUGUGCCCAAGCAUUGAGGCAGUCCAAGUAGGCAAAUCCGCUUUGAUAAUGCUGGGAUGUGAUGGGGAGCGAAAUUUAGUAGCGAAGUAGCUGAUUUCACACUGUCAAGAAAAGUCUCUAUCGAGGUUAAAGGUACCCGUACCGCAAACCGACACAGGUGGGUGAGGAGAGUAUCCUAAGGCCA
rnacentral:rRNA from 1 species